rnacentral:rRNA from 1 species
CAGCAGCCGCGGGAAUACGUAGGGUGCGAGCGUUAAUCGGAAUUACUGGGCGUAAAGCGUGCGCAGGCGGUUUUGUAAGACAGAGGUGAAAUACCCGGGCUCAACCUGGGAACUGCCUUUGUGACUGCAAGGCUAGAGUACGGCAGAGGGGGAUGGAAUUCCGCGUGUAGCAGUGAAAUGCGUAGAUAUGCGGAGGAACACCGAUGGCGAAGGCAAUCCCCUGGGCCUGUACUGACGCUUAUGCACGAAAGCGUGGGGAGCAAACAGGAUUAGAACCCGCGUAGUCCCUGUCUCUUAUACA